CGAGGGAGGAGCUUACACCCUGGUUGGAGGACGAGGAGGCGUUUGCGCGGGGAGCCCCAUCUGGGGAAGGCAGAACAGUGCCUUCUCCUGGUUUAUGAAAAAGAAAACAUCUGUGUAUCCUAGCCUGUGACCUGUAGACGUUCAGAGAGAAAGUGAUUCUAUUAAUGGGGCUUCAAGUAGGAAGUAUCUCCUGGCUGAAGGGCCACACCUUCUGGUAGCAGCACUGAUAAAGGACACAGAAGAAGGAAGCUUUUGCUCUUUGUCUGCUUGCAAGUCCAUUCCUUCACUGGCAUUAGAGCUCGCUUCUUCAGGAUUGUGGCAUAUACUGAGGACCAGCUGAAACAUCCAGCCUCUCGGACUGAACAACUACUGAAUUCUUGGACCUUUUCUAGUAGACCAGAUGGACCACAACUCCUAAGCCAUUCUAAUAAAUUGUGUAUGUGUGUGUGUGUGUGUUUUGUAAGUUCUAUUUAUGUAGAGAACUCUACUAAUACAGCCAGAAUCACUUGGCAAUCUCUUAAGAGCCCCAUACCCCUGCCAACACUCAGAGAACCUGUAGUGGGUGCAGGAUAACCACCAAAGGGUAUCUGA